AUGCUCUAGUUUCUCUUCAGAUCAUAUAAAUCUUUUGCCUUUUACUAAAGAUUCCCAUGGAGAUGAACACUUCAGAGUUUUUAAACUAAUUUUUUGAGGUCUUGCCUUAGCAGGGCU
rnacentral:snRNA from 1 species